CCCUUAGAUGUUCUGGGCCGCACGCGUGCUACACUGAGUGGAUCAGCGGGUCAGGUUGCGCGAAAGUGUUUCCUAAUCUUGAAAUCCGCUCGUGAUGGGGAUUGACGGUUGCAAUUUUCCGUCAUGAACGAGGAAUACCUUGUAAGCGCGGGUCAUCAUCCCGCGCCGAAUACGUCCCUGCCCUUUGUACACACCGCCCGUCGCUCCUACCGAUUGAGUGGUCCGGUGAGGCUUUGGGAUCUGAGCGGAAAGAGCGUUUCGCUGUUUCUGCUCGGAAAACUCAGUCGAACCUUAUCAUUUAGAGGAAGGAGAAGUCGUAACA
rnacentral:rRNA from 1 species